UACGGAGGGUGCGAGCGUUGUCCGGAAUCAUUGGGCGUAAAGCGCGUGUAGGCGGUCCGGUAAGUCCGCUGUGAAAGUCGGGGGCUCAACCCUCGAAUGCCGGUGGAUACUGUCGGGCUAGAGUGCGGAAGAGGCGAGUGGAAUUCCUGGUGUAGCGGUGAAAUGCGCAGAUAUCAGGAAGAACACCCGUGGCGAAGGCGGCUCUCUGGGACGGUACUGACGCUGAGACGCGAAAGCGUGGGGAGCGAACAGG
rnacentral:rRNA from 1 species